UAGAAUUCAUGGUUUAGACAUGUUAUUGAUGCAUUAAAUCGUGCUCCAUUUAUUUCUUUUGUUAAUUUUUGAUUUUAACGUUGAUUUCUUAUACUUUGAAGAGGUUGGAAAAUCAUCCUCAAAAGGUAAAGAGAAAGCCAAGGAGUAAGGCUUUCCAAGCUUAUUCAAGCUUGUUAAUAAGGUUAGUGAAAUAAUAUUCUCU
rnacentral:lncRNA from 1 species